UUGAGAAACAGCAAUGUGAUAGAUAAAGCACUGGACUGGGAUUUUAAUCUAGGUAUUGCUGUAGAAUUUCUGCAUCAGUUUGUCCAAGAAAAUUAGCUAGAACACUUAGCCUGGCCUUUGUUAUCUGUGAAACGAAUAUGAUAAUCCCACAUUACCAGUCUGUGACAAAUCCAUGAAUACUACUUGUAUUUACUGAACAGUUUCAGAUUAUUUUUUUUCUUUUCUUCAAUUAUUUCAAAAAAUAACUUUCAAAAAAACCUGACUAAAGAUAUGAAAGCUAUUACACUACACACCUAAUAUAAAUUGGCUGACACAUGCUAAACUGUCAAAUGUCCCUGGAUGGGAAAUUAAAAUAAUUUGUUUAAAUUAUUGAACAACUGGUUGCCCAAACUAUCAUAUGUCCAAAGAUAUCUCUUACUGGCUUCGUGAUCACUGAAAAUUUUUGCAACAAUCAUAAAAAAUUAUGCAUCUUAGUUACACUCCUCAUUAUUUUUUUCAUUAAAAGGUAUGAGACUAAAAUGACACAAUUUUAUUAUUAAAACUAGAAUUUGAUUUCCAAAUAUAUUUUUUAUGCGGCAAUAAUUUUAUGGAUUGUUUUCUUGCUCAUCAUUUAAUGAGAAGCAAAAUAUUCUUCAAACUGCCACAGAAGAAAAUAACACAUACAAAAGGAUGAAGAAGGAAAUAGAACAGCACAUGCUAUAAAUUGAAUAAAAUAAAUACAAGAGUGAAAUGCUGUUGGAAGGUGGGAGAAGGCCUUAGCUGAGUUGAAACUAAAGAAAAAGAAAAAAAAAAAAAGAAAAAAGAAAAAAAGAAAUGCACAUGCACCAUUGAAAUCUGUAUCCACAGAAGAUGAUUCAUGGAUGUGGAGUGUGAGAAAUGUGUUUUCUGCUGCAAUGGGAAGAAACCAGGGUCUCCAUUUCUUCACUGCUGUCUAGGGUCUUCAUUUUUACCUGCAUGGUGUUGUUCUUGCUGUAUAUCCUCCUUUCCCUCCUAUCCCUUUCUCUGAACAGUGCUUAAUAAAUUGCAUUUAUC